rnacentral:rRNA from 1 species
GAUGAACGCUGGCGGCGUGCUUAACACAUGCAAGUCGAACGGAAAGGCUCCUGCUUGCAGGGGUACUCGAGUGGCGAACGGGUGAGUAACACGUGGGUGAUCUGCCCUGCACUUCGGGAUAAGCCUGGGAAACUGGGUCUAAUACCGGAUAGGACGAUGGUUUGGAUGCCAUUGUGGAAAGUUUUUCGGUGUGGGAUGAGCUCGCGGCCUAUCAGCUUGUUGGUGGGGUAAUGGCCUACCAAGGCGUCGACGGGUAGCCGGCCUGAGAGGGUGUACGGCCACAUUGGGACUGAGAUACGGCCCAGACUCCUACGGGAGGCAGCAGUGGGGAAUAUUGCGCAAUGGGCGCAAGCCUGAUGCAGCGACGCCGCGUGGGGGAUGACGGCCUUCGGGUUGUAAACUCCUUUCGCUAGGGACGAAGCGCAAGUGACGGUACCUGGAGAAGAAGCACCGGCUAACUACGUG